GCCCGCUAGAGGGCGCCGCAGCGGGGGGCUCGGGGCGGUGUCGUCUGACCCUCGCGGGCCGCCGUACGCGCUAUAAAAGGCGCGACGCGUGGGUGUGCGCCCUUUCUCGCGGCGGCGGGGCGGCGGUGCCUGCUGGAGGGUGCGCGGGCCCGGCUCCCCUCAGGCAGCGGCUCGCUAGCCGAGGUUUGGCGCGCAGGGCCCGGCUUUCCGUGAGUCCGCGCUCGGGGGGAGCUUUCCUGCUGGAAACCCGGCCUGGAAGAGCGUCCUGGGAUCUCGGGUGAGUUGACAGGAAGGAAGGUGAUAGCUAGCCUGUGAAGGGGGCCAGAAUAAAUGACCAGCACCAUCCAGAAGAAGGUAAGAGGAGAAAUGAGGCUAGCUCCCCCCUGGGGGGAGGCCAUAUUCCUGGGCCUAGCCAGGUGGGAAGGUGGGAGGGACUGGCUGCCCUGCAGGUGCUGGACCUACUAGCACCACAGAUACA
rnacentral:lncRNA from 1 species